rnacentral:rRNA from 1 species
UACGAAGGGGGCUAGCGUUGUUCGGAAUUACUGGGCGUAAAGCGCGUGUAGGCGGGUCUUUAAGUCAGAGGUGAAAUGCCAAGGCUCAACCUUGGAACUGCCUUUGAUACUGGAGAUCUUGAGUCCGGGAGAGGUGAGUGGAAUUGCGGAGUGUAGAGGUGAAAUUCGUAGAUAUUCGCAAGAACACCAGUGGCGAAGGCGGCUCACUGGCCCGGGAACUGACGCCUGAGACGCGAAAGCGUGGGGAGCAAAACAGGAUUGAGAAACCCCUGGUA